rnacentral:rRNA from 1 species
AACGAACGCUGGCGGCAUGCCUAACACAUGCAAGUCGAACGAGACCUUCGGGUCUUUGUGCGCACGUGUGCGUAACGCGUGGGAACCUGCCCUUAGGUUCGGAAUACCUCCCCGAAAGGGAUCCUAAUACCGGUUAGUGUCAUCGGACCAAGGAUUUAUCGCUUUUGGAUGGGCCCGCGUUGGAUUCGCUAGUUGGUAGUGUACAAGCCUAUCAAGGCGAGGAUGCAUAGCUGGUCGGGGAGGAGGACAAGCUACACUUGAGAUACGACACGGUCCAGAACCGGAGGCGAGGGAGCAGUAUGGAACACUGGACAAGGAGCGAAAGCGUGAUCAAGCAACGCGGCGUAAGUGAGGAAGGGCGUAGUGUUGUAAAGCUCUUUUACCCGAGACGAUAAUGACAGUACCGGGAGAAUAAGCACCGGCUAACUACGUG